UUCCAGGCCUGUCGUUUUAGGAGCCCUACGGACUGGCAUCGGUUGUGCUUUGCACUGAUUCGAGAGCAAAUCAAAGAAGGAGGACGUUCAGAAGGGACAUCUCGGGGACUCCUGCACUGCGAAUGGCGAUGACGUAGCUAGAGUAGUCAGUGCUGGGGAUGGAAUCCAGAGACUCACACGUGCUGGACAAGUGCACAGGAGUUCUACUGCAAAGACAUGUGAGUCCCAGAAACCUAACUCAGACUUGGCAACAGAUAUUUUUAUCCACUGAGCCAUCUUGCCAGCCCUUAAUGACUCAUUUUCUUUGUGUAUUGCGGUGCUGGGAAUGACACCUAGACUCUCCUGCAUGCUGGUCUAUGCCUGGCUCCCGCUCAGCACCGCUUCAGUGGCAGCCACAGUGGUGGUGGCUGUCUUAGUAGUCAGUUCCCUGGACACCACGCCUUCCCACCUUUGGUCUGCCUCAGAGUCCUCUUCAAGGUUUCCUCCAGGUUCUCAGGGCCUCGGGAACUUCUGACAGGCUUCAAGGUCAAGGUUUCCCGGGCCUUCCCUUGCUGCUCUACCAGGACAGCCCCAGAGCAUUCCCUGGGAGCCAGCUUGGGCUAUCUUCGCAAGUCUGAGGCUGAAUUGACCCCCAGUUGAACCACCCCGAGAGAGCAGCUAGCCCUCAGUCUAGGCUCUCUCAAGUACGCCACACGUGACUGGCCUCCACAGGCCUAAGCAGGGCCUCUGCUGCCCUCUGAUUAUCUUUGAGAGAAGAGGCCCAGUGAAGCUGGUGAAAGGAUGGGAAGACCACAAAGGUAUUCCUGAGAAGAGAAGCAAGUCAGAAGACCCAGGUUGGGUAUCCCCAGCCUGGCCAACACCCAUGCCCAAAGCCCCCAGAGACCCCACACUCACCUGAGUCUCGGACGUUGGACCCCACAUCCUGACUGGUGGACUGGAGGGCAGACAGUGCUACCUGGCAGGUGUCUGCAGAACAGCUCAGGAUCGCUCAGUGGUGACUCCAACUCAUCAGUGGCCUGCCCUGUGGUAGCUGCUGACCAACCCUCAGGCUGGCUGGGCACUCAGGUCUUCAGUAGGGAACUGCUGGGUGGGUACAGAGGGCACCUGCACACCCUCAGAGCAGGCUGUCUCCUCUGGUUGAGCAGCAGUGACCUCAGGAGCCCUAAAAUCCCGCCUUUGUCCCAGUUUUCUCAGCAGCAGCCUGAUCCUCCUCUGGGUCUCUGUAGGUCAGGCAUAACAUCCCAUGGGUGCUCACUCAUGCCGAGAACUUCCCAGGCCAGCAUCCGCUUCAGACCCACCGAGUGAGUACCCACUGGGUGAGUGUUGCAUGGGCUAGCAAUGUCCACAUACUACAGAGGCAAGUCUGCAUUACACAGAGUCAGUGGUAGGCAGGUUGGUGUAAGAUGCCUUAUGAGGAGCUGGGGAGGGUCAGUUCUGGGAUCAGUCAUCACUAGACUUAGUGACUUCCAGUGAUUUCCUGGAGGCUGCUUGGAUUUGGACUUCUAGUGAUUUCCUGGAGGCUGCUUGGAUUUGGUUACUGAAGACCCGUGAUGUAAAGCGGUCAGCAAUUUGAGUAGCUCCAGUGGCGGCAGCAAACUUCAGCACGGCUCGCUGGCCAGUGUCCCUGGAGGAGAUGAUGCUGACAUGAGCAGGGAUCUCAAUGGCGGCAAGAGCCUGAGCUGCCGGCAACAGCUUCUCCCGGGUCCUCCCCAGAUUUAUGAUGUAGAUGCCAUCACUUUUCCUUUUGUAGAUGAACUGCUCCAUCUGAAAGUCGAGGUUAGCCGAGCGGUGGUGGCACACGCCUUUAAUCCCAGCACUUGGGAGGCAGAGGCAGGUGGAUCUCUGUGAGUUCGAGGCCAGCCUGGGCUACAAGAGCUAGCUCCAGGACAGGCUCCAAAGCUACAGAGAAACCCUGUCUCGAAAAACAAAAACAAAAACAAAAAAGAAAGAAAAAGAAAAGAAAGUCAAGGUUGGUGCCACCUAAGUGGGUUCCUAUGACAAGGAAUUUGAGGACAUCCUUCUCCUUCAUCUUCAGGACAUCAAGAGCUCUGAACAUUGUGCCGAGCCCUGUAGCAACCACCGUCUUGAGUCCAUUCGGCAAGCAAACCCAAUGCACAGACAACUCCUGUUCAGCUGCUCAAGAGGAUCUGGACUUCCGGACACAAGUGAUGCUGCUGACUCAGCCUCCCAGAUAGCUGGGACUUCAGCUAUGAAGAAGAAUGAAAUGGAAUACUAUUCAACUAUAAAAUGAGUGAACCCAUGUCCCUUGCAGCAAAAUGGAUGGACCUGGAGGUCAUUAUGCCAGAGAAAGAAAGUGCUGUGGUUGGAGCCAGAGCCUUCUGAAUGCAGAGCAGGUACUCCUCUAUGAACUACAUCUUCAAUAGGUAUAUAUUACAGGUGAAACUUAUUUUAAUUCUGUGCUUGUGAGUGUGUGUGGAGCCUAGAGUCACUUGGUAGAGUGUUGCAUUAGCUUUCCCUGGAGAGACAUAAAAAGGCAUCCAAUAACCCCAGAUGGGCACCAAUGACAAACUAAAGUAUGAUUUCCCCAAAGUCCUUUUUUUUUCCAGACAGGGUU